GAAUAUUGCACAAUGGGCGCAAGCCUGAUGCAGCCAUGCCGCGUGUGUGAAGAAGGCCUUCGGGUUGUAAAGCACUUUCAGUCGUGAGGAAGGUAGUGUAGUUAAUAGCUGCAUUAUUUGACGUUAGCGACAGAAGAAGCACCGGCUAACUCCGUGCCAGCAGCCGCGGUAAUACGGAGGGUGCGAGCGUUAAUCGGAAUUACUGGGCGUAAAGCGCAUGCAGGUGGUUUGUUAAGUCAGAUGUGAAAGCCCGGGGCUCAACCUCGGAAUUGCAUUUGAAACUGGCAGACUAGAGUACUGUAGAGGGGGGUAGAAUUUCAGGUGUAGCGGUGAAAUGCGUAGAGAUCUGAAGGAAUACCGGUGGCGAAGGCGGCCCCCUGGACAGAUACUGACACUCAGAUGCGAAAGCGUGGGGAGCAAACAGGAUUAGAUACCCUGGUAGUCCACGCCGUAAACGAUGUCUACUUGGAGGUUGUGGCCUUGAGCCGUGGCUUUCGGAGCUAACGCGUUAAGUAGACCGCCUGGGA
rnacentral:rRNA from 1 species